rnacentral:piRNA from 1 species
UCAGUGGGAAGAGACAAUGGAGAGUUAGGGA